rnacentral:pre_miRNA from 1 species
CUUGUACUCCCUACGUCCAAAAAUACUUGUCAUUGAAAUGGAUGUAUCUAGAUGUAUUUUAGUUCUAGACACAUCCAUUUUGAUGACAAGUAAUUCCGGAUGGAGGGAGUACUUG